rnacentral:rRNA from 1 species
UACAGGGGGUGCAAACGUUGCUCGGAAUUACUGGGCGUAAAGCGCGCGUAGGCGGUCGAUUAAGUCUGGGGUGAAAGGUUCAGCGCUCAACGCGAACAGUGCCUUGGAUACUGGUUGACUUGAGUUGGGGAGGGGGAAGUGGAAUUCCGGGUGUAGCGGUGAAAUGCGUAGAUAUCCGGAGGAACACCGAUGGCGAAGGCAGCUUCCUGGCCCACAACUGACGCUGAGGUGCGAAAGCGUGGGGAGCGAACAGG